rnacentral:misc_RNA from 1 species
AUUGCAUCAGCAACCCGUUCUGAUCUUAAGGUCUAUAUGAAUGGUAUGGAUAUAGAACACAUGGUCUUCCAAGUGAUGAAUUUGGGAACAGACAAUACAGUUUGUCGACAUGGAAUUCAUGGGUUGUAUCAGCUAUUCAGCAUUGACGUUUCCUCUUCAUUGUUGGUAACGGGAGACAACUCCAUGUUUCUUGCACAGGCUAGGGGUGGAGAUGCACUUUGUGGAAUUCUCUAUGAUUACGUAAGGCUAGAGGCUCCAGCACCUCCUGGAAACUCAUCGGUCAGAAGAAGCAUUUGACCUGGAU